CAUUGGAUUGAGAACAACGUACAACUCUUAUCGAUAAGCCAUUGGAGGGCAAGUCUGGUGCCAGCAGCCGCGGUAAUUCCAGCUCCAAUAGCGUAUAUUAACGUUGUUGCAGUUAAAAAGCUCGUAGUUGAAGUGAGGGAGUGUGUGUUCAUGAGAGCUAGUCUCGAGUGUUCACAACCUCCCCCCUCCAAUCGGUGUAGUGGGGUAUUCAGUUAUUUCACUACUCCUUUGGUCGUUUACUGUGAGAAAAUUAGAGUGUUCAAAGCGGGCGUUUGUUUGAAUAGAUUAGCAUGGAAUAAUGAUUGAAGGCUUUCGUGUUCGAUUUGAUUGGUUUGUUCAUGGAAGCAAGGUUAAAAGGAACAGUUGGGGGUAUUCAUAUUCACUAGUUAGAGGUGAAAUUCUCGGAUUUAUGGAAGAUGAACAAGUGCGAAAGCAA
rnacentral:rRNA from 1 species